rnacentral:lncRNA from 1 species
GCACCGGAGCCCGGGUAGCUCUGGCAUUGACAGUCUCUGCAGCGAGAGGCUGUCCAUUGAUUCUUAUUCCUCUGAGUUCAUCCCCGACGGCAUAGUCGUUGGCGAGAGCAGCAGCAUUGACAUCUUCAUAAGCAGGUGCAACAACAGGCGAAGCAUGGUUGGACGUCUGAAUCACAGUUUCCUGUCUCUGAACCAGGGCUCUAAGCUCCUCCUGACCUUGCGCAACCCCUUGCAUCAUCAUCAUAAACUGGGCCAUGUUCGCCCUCAUCUCAGC